rnacentral:rRNA from 1 species
UAACUGUGCAAAGGUAGCAUAAUCAUUAGUCUUUUAAUUGAAGGCUGGUAUGAAUGGUUGGACGAAAUAUAAACUGUUUCAUUAUAAUUUAUAGUAGAAUUUUAUUUUUUAGUCAAAAAGCUAAAAUAUAUUUAAAAGACGAGAAGACCCUAUAAAUCUUUAUAUUUAUAUUAUUAUAAUUUUUUAGAUGAAUUUUAUUAUAAUAAUAAAUAAUAUUUUAUUGGGGUGAUAUUGAAAUUUAAGGAACUUUUAAUUUUUAAAAUCAUUAAUUUAUGAAUAAAUGAUCCGUUAAUAACGAUUAAGAAAAUAAGUUACUUUAGGGAUAACAGCGUAAUUUUUUUGGAGAGUUCAUAUCGAUAAAAAAGAUUGCGACCUCGAUGUUGGAUUAAGAUAUAAUUUUAGGUGUAGCCGCUUAAAUUUUAAGUCUGUUCGACUUU